AUGAUCCGGUGAAUACGUUCCCGGGCCUUGUACACACCGCCCGUCAAGCCAUGGAAGUUGGGGGUGCCUGAAGUCCGUCACCGAAAGGAGCGGCCUAGGGUAAAACUGAUAACUAGGGCUAAGUCGUAACAAGGUAGCCGUACCGGAAGGUGCGGCUGGAACACCUCCUUUCUAGAG
rnacentral:rRNA from 1 species